AGAGUUCAGUGCAGGUUCAAAUGGAGAGAUCGACUGUGGAAAUAAGCUUUUAUUCAGUACAAGUAGAUGUGAAAUACCACAUUAAGUAGAAAGAUCUGAGUACCACACUAUGGGGUUUUAACAGUCUGCCCACGAGAGAACCUUGACCAUUUUGCCAGGACCUUGCUGAUCACCGGAAUUGGGGGAAAAGCACUUAGCAGCUGACCUGAUCAGGACAGAAGGAAGGUGUCGGAAAUCGCACCCUUGCCCAGGCCUCUCCUGGAACAGAACCGGGGGCACCGGCGGUUCUGCCUUGUUGCGAAAAGGUCCACUUGGGGAGUGCCCCACGUUCGGAAGAUCAUGUGAUCCACCUCCAGGUGCAGUGACCACUUGUGCUGGGAGGAGAAGUCCAGGCUCAGGCGAUCCGCUCGAGAGUUCCAGAUCCACUAAGUGGUGGGCUUCCAAGUUGAUAUUGUGGGCGGUGCAGAAGUCCCACAGCUGGAAGGCUUCCUGGCAGAGGGCUGAAGAGCGGGCCCCACCUUGCCUGUUGAUGAAGAACAUUGAGGCCGUGUUGUCCGUGAGAACUCUGAUUACCCUGCCCAUAAGACAUGAGCGAAAGGCCAGGCAGGGCAGACGGACCACUUGGAGUUCUUUGAUGUUUAUGUGCAGGUCUAGUUCCUGCGCGGACCAUAGGCCUUGGGUCUGUAGGUCUCCCACAUUGGCUCCCCAUCCCAAGUCCGAAGCACUGGAUACACACACUAUACAGUUGGGGAGCAGGUCCUGAACGGGACCUCUUGGAGCAUGUUCUCCGGGGUGGACCACCAAAGGAGGGAGGCUAGUAUGGACUUGGGCAUGGUGAGGACUUUGUCCAACCUGUCUUUGGACUGGGAGAAUGUCGAGGUCAGCCAGAGCUGAAGGGGCCGCAUCCUGAAUCUGGCAUGGUGUACCACGUAUGUGCAUGUUGCCAUGUGACCCAGGAGUUGCAGGCACACCCUGACAGUUGUCAUGGGAAACCUCGUGAUCGCCCUGAUGAGAUCCCUCAAGGUUUCGAAUCUUUGACCAGCCAGUUGUCGAGGUAAGGGAAGAUCUGGACCUCCGGACGCCUGGGGUAGGCUGCCACCACAGACAGACAUUUUGUGAAGACUCUGCAUGCCGUCAAGAGGCUAAA